ACCAGUCGACAUCUUUGCAACAGCAUCCGCGGCUGCCCCAGUCAGCUCUGCUAAGCCAUCAAGCGAUCUCCUUGAUCUUCAGCCAGACUUCUCCGGAGCAGCUGCGGGGGCAGCAGCGCCUGUACCACCACCUACUGGGGGAGCCACUGCGUGGGGAGACCUUUUGGGAGAGGAUUCCUUGGCUGCACUUUCCUCUGUUCCCUCUGAAGCACCGAUUUCUGACCCAUUUGCACCAGAACCUUCCCCUCCUACUACAACCACUGAACCUGCUUCAGCUUCUGCCUCAGCCACCACAGCUGUGACAGCUGCCACUACAGAAGUGGAUCUCUUUGGAGAUGCCUUUGCAGCUUCUCCUGGGGAGGCCCCUGCAGCAUCCGAAGGGGCCACGGCACCAGCUACCCCGGCCCCGGUGGCUGCAGCUCUUGAUGCAUGCUCAGGAAAUGACCCUUUUGCCCCAUCUGAAGGUAGCGCAGAGGCUGCACCUGAGCUCGACCUCUUUGCAAUGAAGCCACCUGAGACCAGCGCUCCUGUAGUUACCCCUACAGCUAGCACAGCCCCUCCAGUUCCCGCAACUGCUCCUUCUCCUGCUCCCACGGCUGUGGCAGCCACUGCUGCCGCCACCACCACCACCACCGCCGCCGCUGCAGCUACGACCACUGCCACCACCUCUGCUGCUGCUGCUGCCACCGCUGCUGCUCCUCCUGCUCUAGAUAUCUUUGGUGGUAAUUUGUCACUGUCUUUCGGAAGACGCUUUCUCCUCCCCACCACGAGGGGCCUCUCCGGUGCCUGAGAGUUCUCUCACUGCUGACCUCUUAUCCGUGGACGCGUUUGCAGCGCCGUCGCCUGCAUCCACUGCCUCUCCUGCAAAGGCGGAGUCCUCGGGUGUCAUAGACCUUUUUGGGGAUGCGUUUGGAAGUAGUGCUUCUGAAACCCAGCCAGCACCACAGGCUGUUUCUAGUUCAUCAGCAUCGGCAGAUCUACUGGCUGGAUUUGGGGGUUCUUUCAUGGCCCCUUCUACAACACCUGUGACUCCAGCUCAGAAUAACCUGCUGCAACCCAAUUUUGAGGCAGCUUUUGGAACAACGCCUUCGACUUCAAGCAGCAGCUCCUUCGACCCAUCAGUGUUUGAUGGUUUAGGCGAUCUUCUGAUGCC
rnacentral:lncRNA from 1 species